rnacentral:SRP_RNA from 1 species
GCAGGGUGUGGUGGCGCAUGCCUGUAGUCCCAGCUACUCAGGAGGCUGAGGCAGGAGAAUCGCUUGAACCCAGGAGGCAGAGGUUGCGGUGAGCUGAGAUCGUGCCACUGCACUUCAGCCCGGGGGACAGAAUGAGACUCUGUUUAAAAAAAAAAAAAAAAAAAAAAUUUCAGUCUAGUGUCAAUUAGACGUACAUUGCUGAGGUAUUUUAUCUAUUGCAGAUUUUUUUCCCCUUUUUAUUGCAUCAGGCAUAUUGCCCUGUAAAUUGUGGUAGUGAUACCAGGAAUAAAAUAUUAAAUAAUUUUAUUGGAAGCAGAGGAUCGCCAAGUUGACUGAGGAGGGGUAAACUGGCCCAGGUUGGAAACAGAGCAGGUGAAAAUUCUCAUGCUGGUUAGUAGUGGAGUCACACCUGUGAGUAGCCACUGCACUUUAUCCUGGGCAGCAAGACCCUGUCUCUA